UACGUAGGGUGCAAGCGUUGUCCGGAAUUAUUGGGCGUAAAGAGCUUGUAGGCGGUUUGUCGCGUCUGCUGUGAAAUUUCGGGGCUCAACCCCGACCUUGCAGUGGGUACGGGCAGACUAGAGUGUGGUAGGGGAGACUGGAAUUCCUGGUGUAGCGGUGAAAUGCGCAGAUAUCGGGAGGAACACCUAUGGCGAAGGCAGCUCGCUGGGACGGUACUGACGCUGAGGUGCGAAAGCGUGGGGAGCGAACAGG
rnacentral:rRNA from 1 species